CCUACGGGAGGCAGCAGUGAGGAAUAUUGGUCAAUGGGCGCGAGCCUGAACCAGCCAAGUCGCGUGAGGGAAGACGGUCCUAUGGAUUGUAAACCUCUUUUGUCGGGGAGCAAAAGACGCCACGUGUGGCGUUCCGAGAGUACCCGAAGAAAAAGCAUCGGCUAACUCCGUGCCAGCAGCCGCGGUAAUACGGAGGAUGCGAGCGUUAUCCGGAUUUAUUGGGUUUAAAGGGUGCGCAGGCGGAAGAUCAAGUCAGCGGGAAAAUUGAGAGGCUCAACCUCUUCGAGCCGUUGAAACUGGUUUUCUUGAGUGAGGGAGAAGUAUGCGGAAUGCGUGGUGUAGCGGUGAAAUGCAUAGAUAUCACGCAGAACUCCGAUUGCGAAGGCAGCAUACCGGCGCUCAACUGACGCUCAUGCACGAAAGUGUGGGUAUCGAACAGGAUUAGAUACCCCAGUAGUC
rnacentral:rRNA from 1 species